AAAUCGUCUCAUAAGUUUUGCAACUGUAGCAGUUUCGGUCCCCAAGGCCAAUUUUUGGUAAAAAAAUAUAAAAAAUAACAUGUGGCACCUCACUUAGGGUGCCACGUCAACGUAGACCGAGUCAUAAUUGGCCUUGGGGGUCAAAACUACCACAGAUGCAAAACUUAAGGGGCGGUUU
rnacentral:pre_miRNA from 1 species